rnacentral:tRNA from 1 species
GGGCGGAUAGUAUAAUGGCUAUUAUGUCGGUUUCCAAGUCCGAAGAUUGAGGUUCGAUUCCUUGUCUGCCCG